UGCAGCUGUGUCAAAUUCAGUGCCUGCCCUGCCAAUGGCAGGCACUGGCCCAGAAGGCUGCCAUAGAAACCCUGUGACCCAUGGGCCCUGUUCCCCUUGCUCGGGCUCAGGGAUAAAUUUGGUCACAGACACCA
ensembl:snoRNA Gm24313 predicted gene, 24313